GCACUGGCUUAUUUGGUAGAGUAUUUGCCUUGCAUGCAAAAGAUCCUGGGUUCAAUCCUCAGCAACACA
rnacentral:tRNA from 1 species